CACCUAAAUUGGAACCAAGUAAUCAAGUAUGAAAAAAGAAACUGUGAUGAACUAUUGCUAAAGCCACGAAUAUUGCUGAAUACUAGUCUCAAAAGUGUUAGACCUGUGGUGAGAGAUUUAUUUGAAGAAAAACCCCAACUGGAGGCAAACCACGACUGAAGACGAGGGAGCAGCAACAAGUGAACCAGCCCGAGGACUGAGAGCACCGACUGGAGAGAACCCAUCUGACUCGGAGAUUCCAGUGAUUCAGUCAGGAGAAAGUUUGAGAAGCUGUUGAAGCUUGUUUGGAAGGGAAAAGGGAGGAGUGACAACGGAGCAGCAAUGGCUGGAGUUUCUGGGAGCAUUUUGGAAGCUGAGUCAUCGAUGCAUCCCAAAGAAGUGGAAGCAUUGGAAAGGCAGGAGGACACAACCGUGGCUGAAAUGAGAAGCCAAAAACAACAUAAAAGCCAAAGAGAGGGGAAAACAAAAGAGCAAACAUUAUUUGGAAGCUUUUAGAACCUAACAGAAGACAACUAAAAAAAAGUCAGAUGAGCGCAGGAAGUGGAAUUAUGAUUUGUAGUCAUUAAUGAGUCUUGGCAGCACCCAACAGUCUGAGGCAUUUAGAGGAACAAAAUAUCCGGGGCCUCAAUAUUUCCUGAAAAUCAAGGUUCCCUGCACUGGUUACGUUUCAACUUUUAUGUUUUUAGGCACAUACAAACUCUACACUCUCAAAAUUUCACUUCUCAAUGCCUCCCACUUACCAAGUACUCCUUUGCCAGGAAACAGACUGUCCCAAGCCACACUUGUCAGAUCCUUCCUGAUACCAUCAAAAUUGACUUUUCUCCAAUUUAGAAUCUCAACCCGUGGUCCAGACCUCUCUUUCUCUAUCUUUAUUUUGAAUUUCAUGGCAUUAUGAUCACUAAUUUCUGUCACAGGCCCUGAUCAUUUCCUAACAGCUUAUUGCACACUUCUACGUCAGGAAUUUUACAUACUGAUUAAGGGCACAUUUGAGAAACUCUACCCCAUCUACCCCUUUUACACUAUUCGAGUCCCAAUCAAUACAGGUAGUCCCUGAGUUACAAAUGUCCGACUUACGAGCAACUUGUACUUACGAACCGAGGAAGGAGAAUGCAGUCCACCAUUUUAAGUCAUUGCCUCUAACACUGUGUUGAGUGUUUAACUUUGUAUUGGGCUUAAAUUUUUCUUAGUAAGAUUUACCCUGACACCACAAACCCCUCCCACCAUUCCUGUCAGCUGGUGGCGCAGUCAGCUCAGCACUGGGCUAGAGAACGGAGGUUCUCGAGUUUGUUUUAGUGACAGACUGCUCCCGUGCCGGGUUGAUGUCGAUCCAGUGACUCCCGUACCCUCCAUGCAGGGUUGAUGUUGAGCUCGCGACUCGACCUUGUAAAAAAAACACUGCCACCUCCAGUUUAAAUUCCCACACAGAACAUUGUGGAGGAUCAAAUACCCAAACCGAGCACAGCCCCCACUUGUCCCAUUUAACCUGUCUCAGUGUACAGUUUAGGACCUGGGGAAUUUAGUGUUGCAGUUCUUUGGACCCAGUGAAGCUUUGGAGCUGACAGAGGUCAGCACCCACCGCCUGCAGUGUUUCUGUUCCACUGACAGCAAGCAAUCGCACUUGAAAAUAAAGUGUGAAUAAGAAAGCAUUUGGAAAGAGGUGAAAUGCCAUCCGUCACUGGAAAAGCAUUAGGCUACAGUCGGUCAACUAUUGUAACAAUUUUAAAUGAUAAUGGAUAAAGUGAGAAUAAUGGAGCAUGUGAAAGUCCCUGCCCCGAUGAAAGCUAUAAUUAUUACUAAGCCACACAAUAGUUUAAUUAUUGGAAUACAUACUUAUAAGUGUUUUAUAUACAUAGAAAAGUAAAAUAUAUACUGUAUACUAAGACAAACGUUUGACUAACUGACACUAAAUAAUACUGGAUGUACUUGUUCCAACAUACGUACAAAUCUGGCUUAAAGACGGACUCAGGAAUGGAACUCAUAUGUAACCCGGGGACUGCCUGUAUAUCAAAAGUUAAAAUCCCUUACUGAAUCAACUUUUCUUUCUUGGCAUGGUCUGCAAUCUCUCUACAAAUUUGUUCCUCUAAAUCCCUCAGACUAUUGGGUGUAAACAAGUUCCAAUAAUGUCUAUAAUAUCAUAAUUCCCUUUCCUGAGCUCAUCGGGCUUUCCUACGAUGCUUCUUGCAUUGUGAUAUACACAGCUCAGCACAUUCAUCGUACCAUGCUCAACCAUGACUUCAAUGUUUGACUAAAUGAGACUCACCAAAC